rnacentral:rRNA from 1 species
AUCUUGCGCAAGGGGGGAAACCCUGACGCAGCGACUCCGCGUGAGGGAUGAAGGUCUUCGGAUCGUAAAGCUCUUUCGGUCGGGAAGAAUGGCGCCGUGGCGAAUACCCACGGGGAUCGAGGGGACCGACAGAGGGAGGAGCGGCUAACUAGGGUCCAGCAGCCGCGGUAAUACAGAGGGUGCAAGCGUUGGUUGGAAUUACUGGGCGUAAAGCGCGCGCAGGCGGGAUGGCAAGUCGGAUGGAAAAGCCCUUGGCUCAACCCAGGAAGUGCAUUCGAAACUGCUGUUCUUGAGUGUCGGAGAGGGUGGCGGAAUUCCCGGUGUAGAGGUGAAAUUCGUAGAUAUCGGGAGGAACCCCAGUGGCGAAGGCGGCCACCUGGACGAACACUGACGCUGAGGCGCGAAAGCGUGGGGAGCAAAC